rnacentral:rRNA from 1 species
UACGUAGGGUGCAAGCGUUAAUCGGAAUUACUGGGCGUAAAGCGUGCGCAGGCGGUUCGGAAAGAAGGAUGUGAAAUCCCAGGGCUUAACCUUGGAACUGCAUUCUUAACUACCGGGCUAGAGUGUGUCAGAGGGAGGUGGAAUUCCGCGUGUAGCAGUGAAAUGCGUAGAUAUGCGGAGGAACACCGAUGGCGAAGGCAGCCUCCUGGGACAACACUGACGCUCAUGCACGAAAGCGUGGGGAGCAAACAGG